CGUAGUAGUGAAGGGAAACCGGAACGAGCCUUCGGGCAGCGUAGACAGGUGCUGCAUGGCUGUCGUCAGCUCGUGUCGUGAGAUGUUGGGUUAAGUCCCGCAACGAGCGCAACCCGUGUUGCUAGUUACAAGUGUCUAGCGAGACUGCCGGUAACAAGCCGGAGGAAGGUGCGGAUGAUGUCAAGUCAGCAUGGCCUAUAUGUCCAGGGCUACACACACGCUACAAUGGCUGGUACAAAGAGAAGCGAAAGGGAGACCUGAAGCGAAUCUCAUCAAAGCCAGUCAUAGUUCGGAUUGCAGGCUGCAACUCGCCUGCAUGAAGUCGGAGUUGCUAGUAACCGCAGGUCAGCAAUACUGCGGUGAAUACGUUCCCGGGCCUUGUACACAC
rnacentral:rRNA from 1 species